GUCGUCCACUACCCCUGAUGGCAAAGAAAAAAAACUAGCCCACUCCCCCGGUCCGUUUCUCUCUCCCUCCGGCUGCUCGCAUCUCGCCAUUGCGGUUCCCCUCAAAAAAUAAAAAAUCUCGUCAAUGCGGAGGCAGCGGCAGCGAGCCAGCGACGGCGCCGGAGGGAUGACCCAACGGCGAGGACUACCUCUUUCGCGUGUGGAGUAUUACCCUUUUUCCUCUCUCGUGCGGCAACGACUCGGAGGCACCGUGGGGGAUGCAAGAUCUGGGCGAAGCUCGGCAGUGACAGCGAUCUUCUCCGGCGUCCCUCUCCACUGUCGGCGUGCAGGGGAAGAGGAAGCAGACCAAGAAAGGAAAGGAAAGAUAAAUGAGGAGCUCGGGUGAUGGAGGUAACGCUCGAGACGGACUCCUGGCGGUGGGAUCAAUUCAAGGAGGAGAUGAAGAGGCCAUGUGGAUGACAUAGAAGAAGAGGAGAAGCUCAAGGCUGCGGAGAAAGGAACAACAGUAGAGUAUCAGACUUCAAUCUAGCUGAGAUCAAUUUUUGGUUGUCACGGGACAUAUGAAUACUCUACUGAUUUUGCUUUUGUUUAAGUUUCACGAAUUUUCAAUUUUUCAUCCUUUAGCAAUAAAUGAUGGUUCUGACUUAAUUGAAGGUUAGUAAUGAUGUGCAUAAAGAGUCAGUCUGUACCUAGCUGACAAUGCUAUCUGUAUAUUUAUGUUAUAAUCGAAAUUUGCACAUACGUACGAGCAAUAUUUCUUCAAUUAAAGAAUAUUCACUUUACGAGGAUUUCUAUUUUUUGCUAUUCUUAAGAUAAGAUUUUAAUCGAUGAUGCCAGCUUUAUGUUUUGUGAAUUUAUUAGGCAAUCGAGGAAUUGGAAUUCUGCCAAGAAAUCUAGGAGCAGAAGAAGAUGUAUGCAAGGGACUUGGAGGCGAGGCAAUGGUGCGCAGGCGAGAAAAUUAUGUUCUGAUUGGUUAGGAUUGGGGUUCGACUGCUCUUGUGUUUGUUAUAUCAAAGUUGGUUGCAUGAGUCACUUCACGAUGGUCAUGUGCACCAGGAAAUUAGCUUGAUUUGAAUAUAGUACAAUCAGGCAUAGCUGCUGGCGUAGGUAGCUGCACUAUGCAGUUACCUAAUUGGAACUCACAACUAGUUUCUUCGGUAGUUCCAACAAAUCAGGGAUUCAGUAUAAAGCAAGCAAUUUUUCCUGUUAGCAAACAUUAAUCAGUUUAGUUGCACUUGCAUAUAAGAAUAGGACAAGGACAGUGUUGUAUUUUGGAGUUUAUUAGUCCAUCUAUAGAAAAUGAAUAACACGAUUCAGAUUAAGGAGUGUUUAGUAGUUGUGUGCUCAUGCAAGUACAUGGUUUAGGUGUACGUGAAUCUUUAAGCUGUUCCUUUCUAGGAGAAUUUCUAAGACUGUUUGCCAUUUACCCAAAGGUUUUGAAGCUUUGGGAGCCUGCGACUGGCUCGACAGGUGGCAUCAGCAAGCGCCGGCCGGCCUCGGCACUGCUGUGGGUGGUUAUAUGGUGGGCGGAGCACACCAUUGGGAUUCGACAUCAGGUUGUUUGUUUCAGAAAUUCAUGUCCUGACUUCAAAUUUUGGUCGUAAGGUAAAUCCUGCCAACAAGUCGAUGCUAUGGGUUUACUAGUUCUCUUAAUAUUUCUAUGCAAAUUAUUGCCCCCUUCAUUUUAUUUGCAAGUAGCAAGGAACUCGAAGACAGAUGUGCAUUUUCUCACGCGCAUUCUACUCCCUAGAUUGUUUGGGGCUUUGGGCAAUACAGAAUGGAAGAAUUUGUUACUUUUGUAUAGGUUUGGAUAGAAUGGCAUAGUAUCAACAACUAAUUAAUCUUCUCUAAAAAAACAACUAAUUAAUCUUUUGUAGUUGAGAUCCUGCUCACAUCUUUAUUGACUUAUUAUCUUGUCCGCUAUCAUGCACCAUUAUUUGAUGAAUGAAAAUAUCACAGUAAAAUUUCGACAACACUGACUUUCCACAAAUCUACAGUUUCUGUAUAUCAAGGUUCUCUUCCCAUGACAGGAACAGAGUAGUCACAAGGAGCUGCAAUGAUACGUGUACAUGUAACAGUUGUCCAAGCUCUGGAACUUUUUCAGAAAUCAUUGCUCAAACUGUAUGGUCAUCCAGAUGAGGAUGUUGCAAAGGCUAACUGGAAAUACAUCUUCGCAGAAACUUUACAGUCAUUCAGAUGUUGAUUUUGCAACCCCUAAUUGGAACUACAAAUGUCUGCAGAUAGGCCAGAACAGUGUCCAUCUCAAAAUCGAUGGGAGAGUGUUGCACUACAGAAAGAUAGUCUUGUCACUACAGAUAGAUAGUCUUGUCUGUAGAUAUUGAAUAUUUAGAUGCUACUUUCUCAAAUAGCUUACUGAAUUUAUUGUCUGUAUGAUUGUGUAUGACGAACUCAGAUCGUGUUUGUUCAUUGUAAACCGACCUAGUUAUGUAAUGAAAUUCAAGUGCUUUUUGGGUAGUUCUCAUGCA